rnacentral:misc_RNA from 1 species
GAUGAAGAACGUAGCGAAAUGCGAUAAGUAAUGUGAAUUGCAGAAUUCAGUGAAUCAUCGAGUCUUUGAACGCACAUUGCGCCCCCUGGUAUUCCGGGGGGCAUGCCUGUCCGAGCGUCAUUGCCGCCCUCAAGCACGGCUUGUGUGUUGGGCCCCCGCCCCCCGGCUUCGGGGGGCGGGCCCGAAAGGCAGCGGCGGCCCCGCGUCCGGUCCUCGAGCGUAUGGGGCUUCGUCACCCGCUCUGUAGGCCCGGCCGGCGCCCGCCGGCGACCCCAAUCAAUCUUUCCAGGUUGACCUCGGAUCAGGUAGGGAUACCCGCUGAACUUAAGCAUAUCAAUAAGCGGAGGA